ACGCUGGCGGCGUGCCUAACACAUGCAAGUCGAGCGAUGAAACCCUUCGGGGUGGAUUAGCGGCGGACGGGUGAGUAACACGUGGGUAACCUGCCUCAUAGAGGGGGAUAGCCUCCCGAAAGGGAGAUUAAUACCGCAUAAUGUACUUUGUUCGCAUGAAUAAAAUAUCAAAGGAGUAAUCCACUAUGAGAUGGACCCGCGGCGCAUUAGCUAGUUGGUGAGGUAACGGCUCACCAAGGCGACGAUGCGUAGCCGACCUGAGAGGGUGAUCGGCCACAUUGGAACUGAGACACGGUCCAGACUCCUACGGGAGGCAGCAGUGGGGAAUAUUGCGCAAUGGGGGAAACCCUGACGCCAGCAACGCCGCGUGAAUGAUGAAGGCCUUAGGGUUGUAAAGUUCUGUCUUCUGGGACGAUAAUGACGGUACCAGAGGAGGAAGCCACGGCUAACUACGUGCCAGCCGCCGC
rnacentral:rRNA from 1 species